ACGGGUGCGUAACACGUGAGCAAUCUGCCGGGAAGUGGGGGAUAGCUCGCCGAAAGGCGAAUUAAUACCGCAUGUGGCCAGGGAGGACAUCCUUCCGAAGCCAAAGCCGCAAGGCGCUUCCUGAUGAGCUCGCGGCCUAUCAGCUAGUUGGUGAGGUAACGGCUCACCAAGGCUAUGACGGGUAGCUGGUCUGAGAGGACGACCAGCCACACUGGAACUGAGACACGGUCCAGACACCUACGGGUGGCAGCAGUCGAGAAUUUUUCACAAUGGGGGCAACCCUGAUGGAGCGACGCCGCGUGGAGGAUGAAGGUCUUCGGAUUGUAAACUCCUGUCAUGCGGGAACAAGAAAGUGAUAGUACCGCAAGAGGAAGAGACGGCUAACUCUGUGCCAGCAGCCGCGGUAAUACAGAGGUCUCGAGCGUUGUUCGGAUUCAUUGGGCGUAAAGGGUGCGCAGGCGGCUUGGUAAGUUGAGUGUGAAAUCCCGGGGCUUAACCUCGGAACUGCACUCAAUACUGCCAGGCUAGAGGAAUGUAGAGGAGAGUGGAAUUCACGGUGUAGCAGUGAAAUGCGUAGA
rnacentral:rRNA from 1 species